CCUACGGGAGGCUGCAGUGAGGAAUAUUGGUCAAUGGCCGAGAGGCUGAACCAGCCAAGUCGCGUGAGGGAAGACGGCCCUACGGGUUGUAAACCUCUUUUGUCGGGGAGCAAAGCGAGUCACGUGUGACUCAUUGAGAGUACCCGAAGAAAAAGCAUCGGCUAACUCCGUGCCAGCAGCCGCGGUAAUAUGGAGGAUGCGAGCGUUAUCCGGAUUUAUUGGGUUUAAAGGGUGCGUAGGCGGGAUGCCAAGUCAGCGGUAAAAAUGCGGUGCUCAACGCCGUCGAGCCGUUGAAACUGGCGUUCUUGAGUGGGCGAGAAGUAUGCGGAAUGCGUGGUGUAGCGGUGAAAUGCAUAGAUAUCACGCAGAACUCCGAUUGCGAAGGCAGCAUACCGGCGCCCUACUGACGCUGAGGCACGAAAGCGUGGGUAUCGAACAGGAUUAGAUACCCUUGUAGUC
rnacentral:rRNA from 1 species